AUUGAACGCUGGAGGCGUGCUUAACACAUGCAAGUCGUGCGAGAAAGGGACUUCGGUCCUGAGUAGAGCGGCGCACGGGUGAGUAACGCGUGGGUAAUCUCCCUUGGUGAUCGGGAUAACAGCGGGAAACUGCUGCUAAUACCGGAUAAUCUUCAUGUUUAACUUCAUGGGGUAAAGGUGGCCUCUGCUUGCAAGCUACCACCUCAAGAUGAGCCCGCGUCUCAUUAGCUAGUUGGUAGGGUAAUGGCCUACCAAGGCUACGGUGAGUAGCUGGUCUGAGAGGAUGGCCAGCCACACUGGGACUGGAACACGGCCCAGACUCCUACGGGAGGCAGCAGUGGGGAAUAUUGCGCAAUGGGCGAAAGCCUGACGCAGCGACGCCUCGUGAGGGAUGAAGGUCUUCGGAUCGUAAACCUCUGUCAAGAGGGAAGAAACCCUUGAGUUCGAACAGGACUCUUGGCUGACGGUACCUCAAAAGGAAGCACCGGCUAACUCCGUGCCAGCCGCCGCCGUAA
rnacentral:rRNA from 1 species